UAAAAUCGUUCAUGUCUGUGUGUCUGUGUGUGUGUGUGUGGACUGCACUUUCAUUGGACGGCGGUUGCCCCUGGCAACGGCUAGCCACGCCUUCGCCGCUUUCAUUGGACGGCGGUUGCCCCUGGCAACGAGUAGCAACUUUUCUCCGCGGGGUGGACGCCAUUUUUAAUAGCGCGGGGGGGGGGGGGGGACCGGCACCCGUACCCAGCGUUCGCCGGGUGGGAAAAUCAGGCAAGGCGGGAGGCUCUGCACGGUGCUAGGCCUCGACACCCAACACGCCACUCUGAGGUGCGUGACGUCAUUUAUGGACGGCCCCUAAGGGAGGCAGAGGGACGUCGGCCACGGGGAUGGAGCAAUGGGAUCAGGUGAGGUGCAGUGGGUAUAGCACGGCUGGUAACGACGAGUGUGCGGACCAGCCGGCUCGUCGGUAGCGGCCUCGCAAUGGGAAGGUUGCGAGUUUUAAAUCCCGAUUGAGGGUUGACUCAGCCCAUCAUCUCUACGGGGGGGGGGUGGGUGAUAAAAUGAAUACCACCUUGCAUGGAAGCCAAUAGUGGUUGCCCUAUGGAUAAUCUCAUCCCUGCCAAAGGAACGUGGCAUUUCCACCACUGGUUUAAACCUUACAUGAUCAUGAAAUCAUUGUGACGAUGAUGAUGAUGAUUUGUGAAUAAAGAAGAAGAUGGCUGGAUUGCGGUGCAAGACUGGAGCGCUAUGGACGCCUGGCACCUCCGAUGACCACGGUUGGCUACGGAGUGUACGAAAGAAGUUCAACGUCGACUCAGCCUCAAAUGAGUACCUGGUGCAGCUUGUGAAAAAACAUCGCCACUCGGGAGACAAAGGCAUGGUGCUGGCCACCCACCCCUCGUGUGCCGUGCCGGCCUUCAUAGGUGCUCGCUAACAGCACUUGCACCCAAGCAAGUCUGCGAAGACUAUACGGGGGAUCUUUGUCUUUGUUACGUGCAUUCCUCGGUCAUCAUUCUCAGUUAAUUGGCCAAUCAUCCCGACGCAGGACCCUCCCGAAUGGGAGCAUUUUUUGAGACUCGGCGAGACUUUCCUGGAUCAAUCAAAUGAAAGAGAUCACGGGCGUUGCAUUCUGCACUGAAUUCACCCCCGCGGAGAAGCUCCCCGGCACGCGCAGAGAAACGUCGGCAACACCCGGAGCGGCCCGCACGACGAGCGGUGCAAACCAAAAACAAAUCCACACGUGGGAGUCGAUUCACAUCGCGUUGGGGCCGGGGGGGAGGGGGUUACUUCCCCCCGUUUACAACCAGAAAUUUGAAAUCACAAAGCAAUCGGGGGGGAAGGGGUGAUAACAGAAGUGACAGUAUGCCUAUCGGCAUCUGAAAUACACUGAGCAAUGCGUGGCGUCUCACGCAGACCGAAGUAAAUCAAUCCCCCACCCUCCACCAUUUCAAGCAGCGUGGUAACUCGGGAACACCAGUGUUUAGCACGGUUAGUUACGUACGGUGCAAAAGAAGUUCAACAUAAACACACGCCCAUAGUCACUCACAUAGUCACCCACUCACCCACCCACACACUCACCCACCCUCCAAUUAGCACGGUUGGCUACGUGCGGUGCAAAAGAAGUUCAACAUAAACACACACGCCCAUAGUCACUCACCCACUCACAUAGUCACCCACUCACAUAGUCACUCACCCACUCACGUAGUCACCCAUUCACCCACCCACACACUCACCCACCCUCCAAUUAGCACGGUUGGCUACGUACGGUGCAAAAGAAGUUCAACACACAUGCAACUCCGCGUGCGCAACACGCAAUACGUGCCGGACGGCGCUCGGCUGGACGAGGACGCGGAGUUCAAAAGUUCUCAAAUAAAUCAGUUGAAAGCGCA